rnacentral:rRNA from 1 species
UACGAAGGGGGCUAGCGUUGCUCGGAAUGACUGGGCGUAAAGGGCGCGUAGGCGGUUUGUACAGUCAGGUGUGAAAUUCCCGGGCUCAACCUGGGGGCGGCACUUGAGACGUAGGAAUUGGAGUGAGGAAGAGGGUCGUGGAAUUCCCAGUGUAGAGGUGAAAUUCGUAGAUAUUGGGAAGAACACCGGUGGCGAAGGCGGCGACCUGGUCCUUUUACUGACGCUGAGGCGCGAAAGCGUGGGGAGCAAACAGG